AAUAUACUCCCUCCGUUCGGAAUUACUUGUCGCGAAAAUGGAUGUAUCUAGAUGUAUUUUAGUUCUAGAUACAUCCAUUUCCGAGACAAGUAAUUCCGAACAGAGGGAGUACAAG
rnacentral:pre_miRNA from 1 species